rnacentral:rRNA from 1 species
UUUUUUUUUUUUUUUUUUUUUUUUCCAGAGACGCUGGCGGCGUGCCUAAUACAUGCAAGUCGAGCGAACAGACGAGGAGCUUGCUCCUCUGACGUUAGCGGCGGACGGGUGAGUAACACGUGGAUAACCUACCUAUAAGACUGGGAUAACUUCGGGAAACCGGAGCUAAUACCGGAUAAUAUAUUGAACCGCAUGGUUCAAUAGUGAAAGACGGUUUUGCUGUCACUUAUAGAUGGAUCCGCGCCGCAUUAGCUAGUUGGUAAGGUAACGGCUUACCAAGGCAACGAUGCGUAGCCGACCUGAGAGGGUGAUCGGCCACACUGGAACUGAGACACGGUCCAGACUCCUACGGGAGGCAGCAGUAGGGAAUCUUCCGCAAUGGGCGAAAGCCUGACGGAGCAACGCCGCGUGAGUGAUGAAGGUCUUCGGAUCGUAAAACUCUGUUAUUAGGGAAGAACAAAUGUGUAAGUAACUAUGCACGUCUUGACGGUACCUAAUCAGAAAGCCACGGCUAACUACGUGCCAGCAGCCGCGGUAAUACGUAGGUGGCAAGCGUUAUCCGGAAUUAUUGGGCGUAAAGCGCGCGUAGGCGGUUUUUUAAGUCUGAUGUGAAAGCCCACGGCUCAACCGUGGAGGGUCAUUGGAAACUGGAAAACUUGAGUGCAGAAGAGGAAAGUGGAAUUCCAUGUGUAGCGGUGAAAUGCGCACGACGAUAUGGAGGAACACCAGCUGGCGAACGGCGACUUUCCGGCCUGUAACUGACGCUGCUGCGACAGCGACCGC